UACAGAGGUCUCAAGCGUUGUUCGGAUUCAUUGGGCGUAAAGGGUGCGUAGGCGGCGCGGUAAGUCGGGUGUGAAAUCUCAGAGCUCAACUCUGAAACUGCACUCGAUACUGCUUUGCUUGAGGACUGGAGAGGAGAUUGGAAUUCACGGUGUAGCAGUGAAAUGCGUAGAUAUCGUGAGGAAGACCAGUGGCGAAGGCGGAACUCUGGACAGUUCCUGACGCUGAGGCGCGAAGGCCAGGGGAGCAAACGGG
rnacentral:rRNA from 1 species